CCUACGGGAGGCAGCAGUGGGGGAUAUUGCACAGUGGGGGAAACCCUGAUGCAGCGACGCCGCGUGGGUGAAGAAGCGCCUCGGCGCGUAAAGCCCUGUCAGCAGGGAAGAAAAUGACGGUACCUGAAGAAGAAGCCCCGGCUAACUACGUGCCAGCAGCCGCGGUAAUACGUAGGGGGCAAGCGUUAUCCGGAUUUACUGGGUGUAAAGGGGGCGCAGACGGCGAUGCAAGCCAGGAGUGAAAGCCCGGGGCCCAACCCCGGGACUGCUCUUGGAACUGCGUGACUAGAGUGCAGGAGGGGCAGGCGGAAUUCCUGGUGUAGCGGUGAAAUGCGUAGAUAUCAGGAGGAACACCGGUGGCGAAGGCGGCCUGCUGGACUGCAACUGACGUUGAGGCCCGAAAGCGUGGGGAGCAAACAGGAUUAGAUACCCCAGUAGUC
rnacentral:rRNA from 1 species